GAUCAUGGCUCAGGAUGAACGCUAGCGGCAGGCUUAACACAUGCAAGUCGAGGGGCAGCAUAAUGGUAGCAAUACUAUUGAUGGCGACCGGCGGACGGGUGCGUAACGCGUAUGCAACCUACCCUUUACAGGGGGAUAACACUGAGAAAUCGGUACUAAUACCCCAUAAUAUUCUGGGAGGCAUCUUUCGGAGUUGAAAGCUUUGGUGGUAAAGGAUGGGCAUGCGUUGUAUUAGCUUAGG
rnacentral:rRNA from 1 species